UUGGAGGGCAAGUCUGGUGCCAGCAGCCGCGGUAAUUCCAGCUCCAAUAGCGUAUAUUAAAGUUGUUGCAGUUAAAAAGCUCGUAGUUGAAUUUCGGGAUCAAUGUUUCGGUCAUGCCGUUGGUAUGUACUGAUAUUAUUGAUUUCUCACCUUCUAAAGAACCGUAAUGCCAUUAAUUUGGUGUCACGGGGAAUUAGGACUGUUACCUUGAAAAAAUUAGAGUGUUUAAAGCAGGCUCACGCUUGAAUACAUUAGCAUGGAAUAAUGAAAUAGGACAUCCGAUUCUAUUUUGUUGGUUUCUAGGAUCGAUGUAAUGAUUAAUAGGGAUAGUUGGGGGCAUUAGUAUUCAAUUGUCAGAGGUGAAAUUCUUGGAUUUAUUGAAGACUAACUACUGCGAAAGCAUUUGCCAAGGAUGUUUUCAUUAAUCAAGAACGAAAGUUAGGGGAUCGAAGACGAUCAGAUACCGUCGUAGUCUUAACCAUAAACUAUGCCGACUAGGGAUCGGAUGAUGUUAAUUUUUAAUGACUCAUUCGGCGCCUUACGGGAAAC
rnacentral:rRNA from 1 species